GUGUCACCAGCACCUCCCCAGUAUCACCAGCACCCCCUUGUCAUUGUCACUGUCAUCCCUCUCAUGCCAUCAUAAUCCUCCCGCUCCCAGUGUCACUGUCAACCCCCAAAUGUCACCAGCACCCCCCCAGUGUCACGGUCACCCCUUCAAUGUCACCAUAAUCCUCUCUCUCCCCGCGUCACUGUCGCCUCCUGUGUCACCACAAGGCUGAAUGUCCCCUUUGUCUCCUCCAUGUCUUCUCCUUCAUUGUCUUAGGAUGCAUGUGGCGCCGUUUUAAUUAACAUUAAUCUGUGUUAAUUAACUUUAUUAGCAUUAUUCAAUGUGACUUAUACUCCACAUUAUUUUACAUUAUCACAUUUUAUCCCUGUGAUCUCAUGUUUUUUUGUGUUAUUUCAUUCUUUCUCGUCAUCCUCAUUAUUCCAUGUUCCUGGAGGGCCUGGAUGUGGCUCCUGGCCUGUCCCUCUGUCCCUCUGUCCCUUGUCUGGUGGCAGGUCCACCCAUGUUCUAUAUUCACCUGUGUUUUCCCAUGUUCACCCAUGUUAUCCCAUAUUUUCCCAGUACAUUCUGUGUUAUUCCAUGUCCUGCCUGUGUACCCGCAGGGCCUGGGCUUCAGCUCCUGCCUUGUCCCCUGUCCUUGUCCUUGUCUGUGGCUGCUCAUUCAGUCAUGUCCUCCUAUACCCUCGAGUGCUAUCCCAUGUUUGUUAUCCCGUAUUUUCCCACGUUUUCCCAUAUUUCCCUGUGUUUUGUCCCUGCAGGGCCUGGGCUGUGGCUCCUGCGCCGGCUGCCUGAGCACCGAGGACUGCGGCAGCUGCUGCAUCUGCCUGCGGCGCCUGCAGCCCGGCCUCAAGCGCCAGUGGCGCUGCCUGCGGCGCCGCUGCCUGCGCCCCAAGAAAGCCAGGGUGGCCAAGAAGCCGCAGAGCCCCCGGCCCCUGACCGAGAAGUGGAAGCCUCUCGUGGAGCGGGAGCCCAGCGACGCCUCCAGCACCAGGCACAGAAAGCUGCUGACCAAUGGCAAGGAGAAGAAGAAGCCGGGGCGACCCCCGAAGG
rnacentral:lncRNA from 1 species